rnacentral:tRNA from 1 species
UCCCUAGAGGACAGUGAUUAGGCCACAGCACUCUCACCGCUGCGGCACGGGUUCAAUUCCCAGCCAGGGAG